GUGAGCCGAUCGCUAAGGAGAUGGGGUUGCUCAUCGGAAGCGCGCGUUCCCAGCGAUUUCUGAAGGUGCGCCCAGGUGACGCGCAGAUUGUUUUGAGCCGCAGCUGUGGGCAAGUCGGGCCACAGCAAGCCCAGCAGGAAUUCGCGGCUGUGCGCGUGGCUCGACUCGAUCAGGAGGUAGGCCAGCAGCCCGAUCGCCUUGCGGUUGGUGAGGGUGAUCGCUCCCAACGGGCGAUGCGCGAUCUGCAACCGGCCGAGUAAAGACAGAAUCAGUUCAGGCAAGCUCGUCCCAAGUAAUGAUGAAUUAAUG
rnacentral:misc_RNA from 1 species